GUGCUCGCUUCGGCAGCACAUAUACUAAAAUUGGAACGAUACAGAGAAGAUUAGCAUGGCCCCUGAGCAAGGAUAAAAGUUACCCCUGAGUUUUAAGGAAAAUGAAA